GAACCCUGUUCAUUAUAAUUCAAAGUUUGUGUGACUUGCUACAGCUAAUUGCGGCUAAUCGAUGAGGUCCUUGGCAGAGUGCAAUGGCAACAAUCCUAUUGAUUAUCGUGUGACUUGCUACAGCUAAUAGCAGCUAAUCGAUGAGGUCCUUGGCAGAGUACAAUGGCCAGAAUCCUGUUGACUAUCAUUCAAUGUUUGUGUGACUUGUUGUAGCUAAUCACGGCUAAUCAUUGAGGUGCUGUCACAUCUUGGUUGUGUGUCUGGCUGUGCCAUGGAGAUGGCAAGUGACACCAACACCAGCCGAGCCGGUGUGUGUAUGUUUCUCUCCCAAGUUCUGCAAGGCCAAAUCUAGCUAUUUUAAAUAGGACAAUUAAAUUUCGGACACUCUCCUUCUGAAGAACUAAGAGCUGCUCUCAUCUCUGCCCGGUGCAGGAGGGGCCUGGAGACCAUCGCUGGGAAUGUUACCUUUGCCGCCGGAUGCACCUUCCCCAGGUGUGACUGGUACCGCCCGGCUGAAUGUUUCUCUCCCAAGUUCUGCAAGGCCAAAUCUAGCUAUUUUAAAUAGGACAAUUAAAUUUCGGACACUCUCCUUCUGAAGAACUAAGAGCUGCUCUCAUCUCUGCCCGGUGCAGGAGGGGCCUGGAGACCAUCGCUGGGAAUGUUACCUUUGCCGCCGGAUGCACCUUCCCCAGGUGUGACUGGUACCGCCCGGCUGAAGUGAAAGCUGCAGUACAAGCCGCAGACAUCGCGAUUGUGUGCCUGGGGACCGGAAUUGAUGUGGAGACGGAAGCAGUGGACCGGAAGGGCCUGGACUUGCCGGGCCACCAGCUGGACCUCCUGCAGGAUGUUGUGGCCUGGGCGGCCGGCCGGCCCGUGAUUCUACUGCUGUUCAACGCAGGCCCCCUCGAUGUCAGUUGGGCCAAAGCUCACGACGGGGUGGGAGCCAUCUUGGCCUGUUUCUUUCCUGCUCAAGCCACCGGCCUGGCGAUUGCCAAGGUCUUGGUGGGAGAGGAAGGAGCCAACCCGGCCGGCCGGCUCCCUGCCACAUGGCCGGCAGGGAUGCACCAGGUCCCCCCAAUGGAGAACUACACCAUGGCUGGACGGACGUACCGCUACUAUGGAGACGAUCCUCCGCUGUACCCCUUUGGCUACGGGCUCUCCUACACCCUUUUCCGAUACAGCGACCUGGCGCUGGGAGCCGAGGUGGUGCCCGUUUGUGGGAACCUCAGCCUCUCGGUGGUGGUGGAGAACGUUGGCCCCCGAGACGGCGAGGAGGUGGUGCAGCUCUACCUCCGGUGGGGAGAGGCCUCCGUGCCCGUCCCCCGCUGGCAGCUGGUCGGCUUCCGUCGCGUGCUGGUACCCCAAGGCCAGGCGACCAAGGUGCCCUUCCUGCUCUCCUUCCGCCAGAGAGCCGUCUGGGCUGGGGAGUGGCGCCUGGAGCCCGGCUCUUUCAGCCUUUUCGCCGGCGGGCAGCAGCCCUUCCAGGAAACCCGUGUCCCUUCCAACGUCCUGCGAGCAGAUUUCAGCGUCUCCGGAAGCGCCCGCAAGAGAAGCCAGUGCUAAUUUCUGGCACUCCUGAUAAAUGUUCUGAAAACCAACCAGGAAGCUCAUUAAGCUCAUUUUUUUAAAGAAAAUGCAGGGAAAAAAAUCUGAUUUACUGCCUAUAUAAUUGCUGGGAUCAUGAACUUUCAUCUGGACAUCUACCACCAGGUUGUGUUUUUGUUGUGGGUGUAUUGUUGUGAUAAGGAGGAGAGAUUAUCUGUCACAGUGAUUGAUGGGUGUCAUUAGCUGGUCUUUUGUGUGUAGUGAUCACUGGUCCUUACGGCUGGGUAGAGUUCGUUGAACACAAAAAAACACACUGAUCACCAUAAUCACCCAUCUCCUGAACAGGACAAAAACCUGAUCCAACAGCUAUAAAUACUCAACUCCCAAACAAACUGCACCAGAGCACAGAGUGCUACUCCUGUCUUCUGAAGAUGGCCGGCCACAGAGACUGGCGAAACGUCAGGAAGAACAACCUUCAGAACACGGCCAAAGAGCCCGAAAAACCCACAACAAGUAUCAGAUCCCGGCCAUGAAAGCCUUCGCGAAUACAUAUCUAUGUCUUGUCUGUGUCUGCAAUUGUAAAUGUAAUUUUUAGGGGUUUUUUUUUACAUGAAAAUAAAUAAAAUCAGUAUGUCA
ensembl:lncRNA